rnacentral:rRNA from 1 species
UAGAGGAAGUAAAAGUCGUAACAAGGUUUCCGUAGGUGAACCUGCGGAAGGAUCAUUAUUGAAAUAAACUGAUGAGUUGCUGCUGGUUCUCUAGGGAGCAUGUGCACGCUUGUCAUCUUUAUAUCUCCACCUGUGCACCUUUUGURGACCUGGAUAUCUGUCUGAAUGCUAGCCAUUCAGGAUUGAGGAUUGACUUUCAUGUCUUUUCCUUACAUUUCCAGGCCUAUGUUUCUUCAUAUACCCCAAUGUAUGUCAUAGAAUGUAAUCAAUGGCCUUUGUGCCUAUAAACCUAUACAACUUUCAGCAACGGAUCUCUUGGCUCUCGCAUCGAUGAAGAACGCAGCGAAAUGCGAUAAGUAAUGUGAAUUGCAGAAUUCAGUGAAUCAUCGAAUCUUUGAACGCACCUUGCGCUCCUUGGUAUUCCGAGGAGCAUGCCUGUUUGAGUGUCAUUAAUAUAUCAACCUCUUCAGCUUUUGCUUGUUGAGUGUUGGAUGUGGGGGUCUUUUUUUGCUGGUCUUCUCAGGUCAGCUCCCCUGAAAUGCAUUAGCGGAACAAUUUGUGGACCGUUCAUUGGUGUGAUAAUUAUCUACGCUAUUGACGUGAAGCAGUUCAGCUUCAAACAGUCCAUUGACUUGGACAAAUUUUUAUUAAUGUGACCUCAAAUCAGGUAGGACUACCCGCUGAACUUAAGCA